rnacentral:misc_RNA from 1 species
AACUCUCAAACCUCAUCUUCAUUGAUGAAGGGCUUGGAUUUGGACGUUGCUGGACUUUACGGUUCGGCUCGUCUUGAAUGCAUUAGCUGACGAUUUCGACUUCAGUUAAACCGUGUGAUAAUACAUCAACGCGGGCAGCUGUCAAAAGCGCUGGGUCGUCAUUCGAAGGCUUCUAACCGUCCCUUUGCGGACCGCCUUUACUGGCGUUUCAUUUCAC